CGAACGCGAAAGUCCCCUUCGGGGGGCGAGUAGAGUGGCGCACGGGUGAGUAACACGUAGGUAAUCUACCUUUGGAUUGGGAAUAACCACCGGAAACGGUGGCUAAUACCGAAUAAUGCAGCGGCACCUAAUGGUGACAGUUGUUAAAGCGGGGGAUCGCAAGACCUCGCGUCUGAAGAGGAGCCUGCGGCAGAUUAGCUAGUUGGUAAGGUAACGGCUUACCAAGGCGAUGAUCUGUAGCCGGCCUGAGAGGGCGGUCGGCCACACUGACACUGACAUACGGGUCAGACUCCUACGGGAGGCAGCAGUCGGGAAUUUUGGGCAAUGGGCGAAAGCCUGACCCAGCAACGCCGCGUGAAGGAUGAAAUCCCUCGGGAUGUAAACUUCGCAAGAACGGGAAGAAUAAGUAAGGGUUAAUAUCUCUUACGAUGACGGUACUGUUUGUAAGCUCCGGCUAACUCCGUGCCAGCAGCCGCGGUAAUACGGGGGGAGCAAGCGUUGUUCGGAUUUACUGGGCGUAAAGGGCGCGUAGGCGGCCACCGCAAGUCGACUGUGAAAUCUCCGGGCUUAACCCGGAAAGGUCAGCCGAUACUGCGGGGCUAGAGUGCAGAAGGGGCAACUGGAAUUCUCGGUGUAGCGGUGAAAUGCGUAGAUAUCGAGAGGAACACCUGCGGCGAAGGCGGGUUGCUGGGCUGACACUGACGCUGAGGCGCGAAAGCUAGGGGAGCGAACGGGAUUAGAUACCCCGGUAGUCCUAGCCUUAAACGAUGAAUGCUUGGUGUCUGGGGUUUUAUAGUCCCCGGGUGCCGUCGCUAA
rnacentral:rRNA from 1 species